rnacentral:tRNA from 1 species
UCUCUUGUAGCUCAGAUGGUAAAAGCAUCUGCUUGCAAUGCAGGAGACCCAGGUUCGAUCCCUGGGUGGGGAA